GACGAACGCUGGCGGCGUGCUUAAAACAUGCAAGUCGAACGAAGUGGCGAACGGGUGAGUAACGCGUAAUCAACCUGCCCUUCAGAGGGGGACAACCGGUGGAAACGAAUGCUAAUACAGCAUACUGAAGGGGGGGAUGGCGUCUGAUUAGCUAGUUGGAGGGGUAACGGACAACCAAGGCGAUGAUCAGUAGCCGGGCUGAGAGGAUGAACGGCCACAUUGGGACCGAGACACGGCCCAGAAUCCUACGGGAGGCAGCAGUGGGGAAUCUUCCGCAAUGGACGAAAGUCUGACGGAGCAACGCCGCGGGAGUGAUGACGGCCUUCGGGUUGUAAAGCUCUGUUAAUCGGGACGCGGUACCGGAAUAGAAAGCCACGGCUAACUACGUGCCAGCAGCCGCGGUAAUUC
rnacentral:rRNA from 1 species